rnacentral:rRNA from 1 species
UAAUACGUAGGCAGCGAGCGUUGUUCGGAGUUACUGGGCGUAAAGCGUGCGUAGGCGGUGUUCCAAGUCUGGUGUGAAAUCUCCCGGCUCAACUGGGAGGGUGCGCUAGAAACUGGGACGCUGGAGUGUGGGAGAGGUAAGCGGAAUUCCUGGUGUAGCGGUGAAAUGCGUAGAUAUCAGGAGGAACACCUGCGGUGUAGACGGCUUACUGGACCAUGACUGACGCUGAGGCACGAAAGCGUGGGGAGCAAACAGGAUUAGAUACCCUGGUAGUCCACGCCCUAAACGAUGCAUACUUGGUGUGGGCAGUUCAGUCUGUCCGUGCCGGAGCUAACGCGUUAAGUAUGCCGCCUGGGGAGUACGGUCGCAAGGCUG